GUCCGUGAUCCGGAUCAGGGACAGUGUCUGAUGGGUAGUUUAACUGGGGCGGUUGCCUCCUAAAGUGUAACGGAGGCGCCCAAAGGUUCCCUCAGCCUGGUUGGUAAUCAGGUGUUGAGUGUAAGUGCACAAGGGAGCUUGACUGUGAGACCGACGGGUCGAGCAGGGACGAAAGUCGGGACUAGUGAUCCGGCGGUGGCUUGUGGAAGCGCCGUCGCUCAACGGAUAAAAGGUACCCCGGGGAUAACAGGCUGAUCUUCCCCAAGAGUCCAUAUCGACGGGAUGGUUUGGCACCUCGAUGUCGGCUCGUCGCAUCCUGGGGCUGGAGUCGGUCCCAAGGGUUGGGCUGUUCGCCCAUUAAAGCGGUACGCGAGCUGGGUUUAGAACGUCGUGAGACAGUUCGGUCCCUAUCCGCUGUGCGCGUAGGAAUAUUGAGAAGGGCUGUCCCUAGUACGAGAGGACCGGGACGGACGAACCUCUGGUGUGCCAGUUGUUCUGCCAAGGGCAUGGCUGGUUGGCUACGUUCGGGAGGGAUAACCGCUGAAAGCAUCUAAGCGGGAAGCCUGCUUCGAGAUGAGUAUUCCCACCUCCUUGAGAGGGUAAGGCUCCCAGUAGACGACUGGGUUGAUAGGCCGGAUAUGGAAGCCCUGUAAGGGGUGGAGUUGACCGGUACUAAUAGGCCGAGGGCUUGUCCUCAGUUG
rnacentral:rRNA from 1 species